GAGUGUGUGUGGGGGGUGUUUGAGAGAGGUUGUGUUUGGAAUCGCUCUAGUUUAAGACGAAGGGGCAUAGGAUUGGAUAACUAUCCUGCUUGCUGGAUUCAGAACAAGAGGCACUUUUUCUUCUCCCAUGUAGUGACUUGACCCACUCUGCGAAAAUGACAACAGGAAGGCUGGCUUUCACUUUAUUACUACUGAGGUGUGUAUACAGCAGUGAGCAGACACAGAAGGAGGCAUUUUUCAGUAAAGGGAUUGAGCUUUUUGUGAAAGGUUUACAAAGCACUGAUCCCUCUGUUGUCAUCCUGUCUUCAGUGGACGGUAACCAUGGAACCACCCCAGUGUUGGUGUGUGUUCUCAGUGGCCUAGAGCCAACGCACGCAGACAUGACCUGGUGGGUCAACAGCACAGUGGUGGACCCAAAGCAAAACUCUAUUCUGACAGCCAGGGAACAAGAUGGAACCCACACCAUCACUGGUAUCUGGAACGUUUCUGCAGAGGAAUGGAACCCCAGCAGUAGCUAUUCAUGUGGAGUCAUGCAAGCAGGACAUGCGUUUAGGAAUGGGAUCCAAUCCUCUCGGUGUUUUGGCUUUAGUUAAGUACAAUAUCUGGAAGUAUAAUGUUGUACUUUUACAUUACGUUCAG